AUUGAACGCUGGCGGCGGGCUUAACACAUGCAAGUCGAGCGGGGGAGGUUGCUUCGGUAACUGACCUAGCGGCGGACGGGUGAGUAAUACUUAGGAAUCUGCCUAUUAAUGGGGGACAACAUCUCGAAAGGGAUGCUAAUACCGCAUACGCCCUACGGGGGAAAGCAGGGGAUCACUUGUGACCUUGCGCUAAUAGAUGAGCCUAAGUCGGAUUAGCUAGUUGAUGGGGUAAAGGCCUACCAAGGCGACGAUCUGUAGCGGGUCUGAGAGGAUGAUCCGCCACACUGGGACUGAGACAUGGCCCAGACUCCUACGGGAGGCAGCAGUGGGGAAUAUUGGACAAUGGGGGGAACCCUGAUCCAGCCAUGCCGCGUGUGUGAAGAAGGCCUUAUGGUUGUAAAGCACUUUAAGCGAGGAGGAGGCUCUUUUGGUUAAUACCCAAGAUGAGUGGACGUUACUCGCAGAAUAAGCACCGGCUAACUCUGUGCCAGCCGCCGCAGUAA
rnacentral:rRNA from 1 species